AACGAACGCUGGCGGCAUGCCUAACACAUGCAAGUCGAACGAGACCUUCGGGUCUAGUGGCACACGGGUGCGUAACGCGUGGGAACCUGCCUUUAGGUUCGGAAUAACUCAGAGAAAUUUGAGCUAAUACCGGAUGAUGUCUUCGGACCAAAGAUUUAUCGCCUUUAGAUGGGCCCGCGUUGGAUUAGCUAGUUGGUGGGGUAAAGGCCUACCAAGGCGACGAUCCAUAGCUGGUCUGAGAGGAUGAUCAGCCACACUGGGACUGAGACACGGCCCAGACUCCUACGGGAGGCAGCAGUGGGGAAUAUUGGACAAUGGGCGAAAGCCUGAUCCAGCAAUGCCGCGUGAGUGAUGAAGGCCUUAGGGUUGUAAAGCUCUUUUACCCGAGAUGAUAAUGACAGUAUCGGGAGAAUAAGCUCCGGCUAACUCCGUG
rnacentral:rRNA from 1 species